rnacentral:rRNA from 2 species
UUAAUUUUUGAAAUGGAGAGUUUGAUCCUGGCUCCGGAUGAACGCUGGCGAUAUGCUUAACACAUGCAAGUCGAACGAAUAUUUUCUUGAAUUUUAAAUUUUGAUAACAAUUUGAAUUGUAGUUUUUACAAAUGGUUUGAAUUAUUUAAUAUUUUUUUAAAUAUUAGUGGCGAACGGGUGAGUAACGCGUAAGAAUCUGCUUUUGGGUAAAGAAUAACAUUUGGAAACGAUUGCUAAUACUUUAUAGGCUGAAAAGUUAAAGGAAACUAAUCCGCCCAGAAAUGAGCUUGCGUCUGAUUAGCUAGUUGGUAAGAUAAAAGCUUACCAAGGCAAAGAUCAGUAGUUGGUCUGAGAGGAUGAUCAACCACACUGGGACUGAGAUACGGCCCAGACCUUUACGGAGGGCAGCAGUGAGGAAUUUUCCGCAAUGGGCGAAAGCCUGACGGAGCAAUAUCGCGUGAAGGAAGACGGCCUGUGGGUUGUAAACUUCUUUUCUUAAGAAAGAAUUCUGACGGUACUUAAGGAAUAAGCAUCGGCUAACUCCGUGCCAGCAGCCGCGGUAAUACGGAGGAUGCAAGCGUUAUCCGAAAUUAUUGGGCGUAAAGCGUUUGUAGGUGGUUUUUUAAGUCUACUGUUAAAUAUCAGAGCUUAACUUUGAAAAAGCAGUAUGAAACUAAUUUACUUGAGUUUGGUAGAGGCAGAGGGAACUCCCGAUGUAGUGGUGAAAUACGUAGAUAUCGGGGGGAACACCAGUGGCGAAAGCGCUCUGCUGGGCCAUAACUGACACUGAGAAACGAAAGCUAGGGGAGCAAAUAGGAUUAGAUACCCUAGUAGUCCUAGCUGUAAACGAUGGAUACUAAGUAUUGGGCUUUUUGAAGUUCAGUAUUGAAGCUAACGCGUUAAGUAUCCCGCCUGGGGAGUACGUUCGCAAGAAUGAAACUCAAAGGAAUUGACGGGGGCCCGCACAAGCGGUGGAGCAUGUGGUUUAAUUCGAUGCAACGCGAAGAACCUUACCAGGAAUUGACAUAUCUUGUUGGUUUUUUAGAAAUAGAAAAUUGUUCAAAAGAUACAGGUGGUGCAUGGCUGUCGUCAGCUCGUGUCGUGAGAUGUUGGGUUAAGUCCCGCAACGAGCGCAACCCUUGUCUUUAGUUGAUAUCUAGAGAGACUGCCAGUGAUAAACUGGAGGAAGGUGAGGAUGACGUCAAGUCAGCAUGCCCCUUAAGUCCUGGGCGACACACGUGCUACAAUGGUAUAGACAAAGGGACGCCAACCUGCGAAGAUUAGCAAAUCUCAAAAACUAUAUCUCAGUUCGGAUUGCAGGCUGCAACUCGCCUGCAUGAAGUCGGAAUCGCUAGUAAUCGCUGGUCAGCCAUACAGCGGUGAAUAUGUUCUCGGGCCUUGUACACACCGCCCAUCACGCUCGAGAAAUUGGAAAUGCCCGAAGUCAUUUAUCUAACCAGUUUUUUGGAAGAAAAUGCCGAAGGUAGAGCUAGUGACUCAAGCGAAGUUGUAACAAGGUAACCGUACUGGAAGGUGCGGUUGGAUCACCUCCUUA